UACGGGGGGAGCAAGCGUUGUUCGGAUUUACUGGGCGUAAAGGGCGCGUAGGCGGCCAGCACAGGGCAGUUGUGAAAUCUCCGAGCUUAACUCGGAAAGGUCAACUGAUACUGUGCGGCUAGAGUGCGGAAGGGGCAACUGGAAUUCUUGGUGUAGCGGUGAAAUGCGUAGAUAUCAAGAGGAACACCUGCGGCGAAGGCGGGUUGCUGGGCCGACACUGACGCUGAUGCGCGAAAGCUAGGGGAGCGAACGGG
rnacentral:rRNA from 1 species